AUGCGCGUCGAUGUGACUGCAGGACACAUGAACACCGACAAGUUGAACGCAUAUUGCACAUCGUACAACAGUACGAUGUACACAUUUUUGAGUGCCUAUAUUUAUCUAUUCAACUAUACGUGUGUGCGCGUUUCACUUCGGGUGGACAGGCGCACGGCCCAUAAGCACGUAUGCGUAGUGAUGCGUUGCCCGCCUUCGGUGGCGGUCAAACAUUGAAGAUAGUCAGGCGCGGCGUCCUCGCGACGACGUGGUUGAUGAAUACAUCCCAUAUGCCACACCAUCGCGUUGGAUAUGUUGUAUUCCAUCACACACAAUAGCAUAUAUCAGUAGGCCUCAAAUAAUGUGUGACUACCCCCUAAAUUU
rnacentral:rRNA from 1 species